rnacentral:rRNA from 1 species
GACGUAGGGCGCGAGCGUUGUCCGGAUUUAUUGGGCGUAAAGAGCUCGUAGGCGGCUUGUCGCGUCGACUGUGAAAACCCGCGGCUCAACCGCGGGCUUGCAGUCGAUACGGGCAGGCUAGAGUUUGGUAGGGGAGACUGGAAUUCCUGGUGUAGCGGUGAAAUGCGCAGAUAUCAGGAGGAACACCGGUGGCGAAGGCGGCAUCCUGGACCGGUAUUGACGCUGAUGCGCGAAAGCGUGGGGAGCGAACAGG